GUAGGUGUAGCUCAGUAGUAGGGCCCUUGCCUGUUGUGUGCAAGGUCCUGGGUUUGAUUCCCAGUACACACA
rnacentral:tRNA from 1 species